CAACUGCAAACUCAAGUUGGUGUUCCAUUUUUAAAAAUGAACACAUGGCCGCAAGCACAGGCACACAAACGCGCGCGCUCGAAUACAUUUGCGAAAUAUUAUUGAUGUGUAUUGGUUGUGUGCGAAAGCGCGCGCACACACAUACAUUAAUAUGUGUAUAAAAGAGUGUAUGAAAUCAGAUUUUCAACCACCGCGCUUCUAAGUAUGUGUGUAAGUGGCAAAAAAAAUAGCGCGCGCACACACACACGCACUCCUAGAGGCAGCUAUAAAAAACUUGCUUCCCUUGCUCAUAGCAGUUCGCGCAAAAAAAAAUAAAAGUGAAAAAUGUGGAAAAAAUUUGAAAAAAUGCAGAAAAAGUACGCGCUAUUUAGGGGAAAAGCUGCGCGGCAACAGCAAAUCCGGAAAAUGAGGCAUAAAUUAUUUUUAUAGGUGGACUGUGUGCGCGAGUGUUCGCUAUGGUUAAGUGGCGGCAUGGUGGUGGCGCGGCGUACAUAUUUAUUCAAAUAUAUGUAUGUGUGCGCGCCUUUGGCGGCUUGUCGCUGUUUUUAAUUCAAUUUCUUCUUUUUUCUUUGCUUGGCGCUUGCUUUUGUUGUUGUUAUUGUUGCUGCUGCCACAUUUUGCGUAUCGAAUUUUUGUGGCCGCAUUUCGCUUGUCAGCGCGCCAACAGCAGCAGCUACAUGGCCGCCUUGACAAUCACACACGCCUCAGUACACUUUCGACUUUGACGACGCACGGAAUUGUCGCCACGGCCACGCAUUCGCCGCUUGCUGCAACAUUGGACAACACAAGUGGCGGGCUGAUUGUGACAGCGCCUUCAACCACAGCAAGUAAGCAAAACAACGCUCUGCAGCGCGCGCUUAUUAUUUUGCCGCCGCUUGGCUUACAAGCAUUGCGCUGCCACUUGUUUCUUUGCGCCUUGCUCCAUUUUUUUCUUCCUGGACGCAAUUCGAUCUGCAACAUUUAUUUCAACCAACACUGCUGCAUAUUUUUUUGUGUUUUUUUUUCGAUUUUCGUCUGCUUAAUCUCCGCGUGCGCACAACCAACGUGCCGCGUCCAAUCGGCUGUGUGACUCGGUUAUCAUUCGGUUGCUCGUGCUGCCGGUAAAGCACAUAUGUUGAGCGCGCUUUCGGUUGCUAUUACUGUUGUAUUUGUUAUUGCUGUUGCUGUUGGUGUUGCCUGCGCUGCCGCUAGCAUGUCUGUUACUGCCGCCCCCUGCUUUGCUGUUAACAAGCGCGCGCACACCGCACACGCACACCUUGCUAUCGGACAGGCGCGCCAUUCAUCAACGCCUCAGCAGCAUCUCUCUGCCAUAACGGCGACGCUGGUGGCUGACCGGCCGGUCGCUUGGCCGCCUGCCGCUGGUUGGCAGUCAGCCAGGCUCCGUGGCUUAUCCUGCAUCCUGGCCUCGUGCAGUUGUCCAACAGCAGCCGGUGUUGGCAGUAGUACAUCAGCUUGUCGUCCGCGCUGACACAUUGAUAAAUAAAUCUUAAUCAACUUCAAAACACAUUCAGCCGCCAACGAAACACCAACAGGCCAGCAAGCAAGUAACAUUUGAGCAUGCAACAACCACAACAACAACAAGGAACAUAACAACGUCAUAUUAAUUCCACAUAAAAGCAACAAAAUGUCGUCGCAAUGCUUACUAACUGCAGUCAUAUAUAUACUACAGACACUUAGUAGCUAGAUCUGUUAUAAUCCAAGUGUCAGUUGCAUUAAUUUACCGCGUACGCUCGGCCGUCCAAAGCUUCGCUUGCAUACAAGAACAACAACAACAACAACAACAACAACAACAACAACACCGAAUGUAAAUAUUGCUAACUGCAAAUGAUUUAUGGCCAAGAGACAAUGAAACCGAAUCUCCGUCGUCCAAAGUGCCGCUAACACAGGUCGCCUCACAUACAUGUGAGUGUAUAAUGUCGCAUAACGGUUCUUGUUGUCAUUUGUAGUAUGGUUUGGUGCGUUAGUUUUGAAUUCGGUUUUGGUUUGGUUUUCGGCCGCUUUUCCGUUUAUUGUGUGUUGCUGCCGGCUUGUUGGUUGUCGCCUGUCAGUGUUUUCGACCGCCCAACAGACGAGCUCACAUGAGCUCGUUCGCUCACUCACUCGCUUUGUACGUAUGUAAAGUCGCGUGUUUGUAGCAACGUGCAACGUGCAACAUGCUGUAAUUUCCGUGUUUUGUAUAGUGUCGGUAUUGCUAUAGUUGCUGUUGUUAUAAUUACUGUCGACGCUGUGCAAAAACUGAACUCAAGUGUGGCAAACGGAUCGGUGAAUGUUGCUAAAUUCCUUUGUGACUCAAAUUGUUGCACAAGCGAGUGGACGAGUAUAUAAAAUUGCGCAUUCAAGUGGGCUGUCUGCAAUUUGGCGAAAACUUGGAGCAAAAUUGGAGAAAAAUUGGAGAAUUGCGGCAAAACAGAUUCUUAAAACCAACUCGAAACAAUCCGAAAAGGUGGUUGCUUUUUAAAGAAACAGACUUCAAACAAAAAAAGGCGCUCAUUUGUCCGCUUGGCUGUAUAAGAGGUGCUAAAGUUAUAGGAGGGUCUAACAUGGAAACUUUGCCGUAAAUGGGAUCCCAAUAAUUCUAAUGAGAAAUUCGCAGAUAAUCGAUCGAUAAAGAAGUUUUAUUGAAAGUUCCCUCAACUAUCAGAUGAAAUACACGAACGAAAUGCUGCGGCUGUAAGCGCCUGUGGGCAAGAUGGAAGUGGUAGAGGAAGAACUCAGGUUCAAUGGGUUGCCAUGCAUGAGCAGCGCGCAGACAGUCGUUGGACCUCGAAUCGAGCUGUGUGGCAAAUAGCUACAUGUGGCUGCCACACUCGGUGGCGACGUUGGACGGUGGAGAUGGCGUCUCUAAAAGACACGGAAACAUGCUACUAAAUAAAAUCAAGCGGAUGAUGUAUGAUGUUAGAGUUCAGUCCAUUAAAUGUUUGUUUAAAAUGGCUUUGGCAUGUAUAAACGUUUAUUACGAGUCAGAUACGAGCAUUAGCGAGUGUGAAAGCUGACAACAACAACAACUCAACUGUUGGAUACAAAGCAAAAAAGUAAUGAUUUUAUUGCAAACAUAUCGAUAGCAGGUGAGUAGAUGAUUUUAGUUGGGAAAAUAAUUUGUUAUAUAUACAUAUAUCCGAGUGACAGUGAUACAGCAGACG